UCUCGAUUUGUCUAGUGGUCAGGAUACCUGCUUGCCAUUUCAUGAUAAUUCGCAGGUGGCCGGGAUUCGAUUCCCUGAUCGAGAG